GAUGAACGCUGGCGGCGUGCCUAAUACAUGCAAGUCGAGCGAACAGACGAGGAGCUUGCUCCUCUGACGUUAGCGGCGGACGGGUGAGUAACACGUGGAUAACCUACCUAUAAGACUGGGAUAACUUCGGGAAACCGGAGCUAAUACCGGAUAAUAUAUUGAACCGCAUGGUUCAAUAGUGAAAGACGGUUUUGCUGUCACUUAUAGAUGGAUCCGCGCCGCAUUAGCUAGUUGGUAAGGUAACGGCUUACCAAGGCAACGAUGCGUAGCCGACCUGAGAGGGUGAUCGGCCACACUGGAACUGAGACACGGUCCAGACGCCUACGGGAGGCAGCAGUAGGGAAUCUUCCGCAAUGGGCGAAAGCCUGACGGAGCAACGCCGCGUGAGUGAUGAAGGUCUUCGGAUCGUAAAACUCGGUUAUUAGGGAAGAACAAAUGUGUAAGUAACUAUGCACGUCUUGACGGUACCUAAUCAGAAAGCCACGGCUAACUACGUG
rnacentral:rRNA from 1 species